CAAAAUGUUAAAAGGUGUACAGUGGAAAGUCAGACUCCUUCCACUUCUAUCCCUCAGGGUUCAGCUCCUCUCCAGGAAGCAGCCAUUGUGCCUUUCAUUGGUCUUCCCAGAGACAUCCUGUGCCUGCACUCACGAUUUACUUUUCCUGACAUAGUGAUAAUUCCCUAUAAAAAAGAAAGGAAGCAGGCUUACACACGGACUCUCAGAUUUACCAACACACACACACAAUUUUACCAGCCCUCUCCUGGGAAUCUUCACACACACACAGCCAAUCACAGUCGUCUCCUACCUAACACCCGCCAACGCUUCUCAUGGUUCCCUGAACACAGGACACACUCUAAGCGGGCUGACAAGGAAGGCCCUCUGUGGGCUGCCUGCUGCCUCCCCUUCAGCGUUCCUUCUUGGCAACGCCAUCUUUGUCCCACCCAGGCCGACCUGCUCUUGUUCACUUCCUGCUGGGGAGCCAACCCCUUCCUCAUGUCGUCCGCCUGACGUGUGUUGUUCCACACGCUGCCAGUCCCUCACUUGUUGAGGUCUGCUUGGCCCCAGCUGUUCAUUUACGGAGGUCUUCGUGGCUGCCCAGACCAGUUCUGUUAGUAAGAAGCAGAACUAAAGGCGACCCCGGCGGGCCCAGGAGAAACGACGAGCAACCAGACACAGUACCUGCAGAGCUCGGAGUUCACGGCCUCCCUGCCUCAGGAGCUGCUGCGUCCGUCCACCUCGAGCCUCUGGCUUCUGCCUUACCAGCUUUCAGGGUUCAUGUGAGCAUUUCUUUUUCACACACACUUUGGAAAGGACCGGAGUCGGGGUGGGCCCAACUGAAAAACCAGAUUGAGUUCAGGGUGCAGCUGAUUCUGAUGGGCCCAGCAUGAAGUAUCAGUUCAGUCGCUCAGUCGUGUCUGACUCUUUGCGACCCCAUGAAUUGCAGCAUGCCAGGCCUUCCUGUCCAUCACCAUCUCCCGGAGCUCACCCAAACUCAUGUCCAUCAAAUUGGUGAUGCCAUCCAGCCAUCUCAUCCUCUGUCAUCCCCUUCUUCUCCUGCCCCCAAUCCCUCCCAGCAUCAGAGUCUUUUCCAAUGAGUCAACACUUCACAUGAGGUGGCCAAAGUACUGGAGUUUCAGCUUUAGCAUCAGUCCUUCCAAAUCAGGUGAACACAAUUUUGUUUUAACACUAAAUGAGCAGGUUAACCUUACCUUAGGAAACCUUACAAAAAUCUUUAAUUACAGUGGGCACAGCUGAGAACUUUUACCUGGGUAAGCCUAUCCAUUUACGAGAUGCCUUAGAGAAAAGCGAGUCUUAGCCAACCGUUCACCCUAAAAGGUAGAGGGAAAAUGUGUUUUCCUCCCUGAAAGGAGGACCUGUAUAGUUCUAGUGACCAGGAUGAGACCUGCCGGGACACCCCACACACCUGUGUUCCCAGGACCUAGGAUCACAUCUGCUGGGUGGAUGCUGCCUGAUUUGAUACUUGCUCAAAUAAACUCUCUCAAACUCUCAAAAUGUCUAAUAUGCCUCAGUUUAUCUUUUAACAGAACCUAAAAAUAACUGUUUCCUGUUACCAAAAACUCUAAACGCCAGCUUCUAAAAAAAUAUAUACCUUUUAGAAAUGGAGAGGAACUGAGAUUCGCUAUCUGGCUACUCACAUUCUCUGUGAUCCAUUCUGCUCUUCUUUCUUCUGGGUGUGUAUUUGCUUAGUCGCUCAGUUGUGUCUGACUCUUUGCAACCCCAUGGAACCUACCAUGCUCCUCUGUCCAUGAGAUUUUUCCAGGCAAGAAUACUGGAGUGGGUAGCCAUUCCCUUCUGCAUCAUUUCUGAUCCAAGGAUUGAACCCCAGUCUCCUGCACUGCAGGCAGAUUCUUUACUGUCUGAGCCACCAGGGAAGCCCGAUUUUUCUGCUAAUGCCUCUCAAACUCGACAAGCUCCUCAGGCUACUCUGGGCUCUCUGAGCUCACUUUUUCAUCCAUGAGGAUUUCUUUCUUCAAUUGAUUUGGACUUGGUGCUUUAAUUAAGUACUCUACCUCAAAUAUAUAGUUCUUUUCUCAAAAUGUUACUUUUUUUUAAUUCAUGAAAAUAUAGAACUUCAUAGCUGUCAUGGCCCACAGCGUGGUCAUUCUCAAUUUUUAACCUUUGUUCAAUGUGGAAAACCA
ensembl:lncRNA